GGGGGGGGGGUUCAGUGGUUGAGCAUCUGCCUUUGGAUCAGGUCAGGAUGCCAGAGUCCCGGGAUCAAGUCCCUGCUUCUCCC
rnacentral:tRNA from 1 species